CCUUUAUAUUAGACUAGAGAAAUCACUGUGCUUCUCUAGCAGCUAAUUUAUUUCUUAUAACGCCUUAUCUUUGAUAUGAAUGCUCUUUUCCUUUACAUUGAUAUUCCGAGUCAAUUGAUGCAUCUGCUUGGAUCAUACUGCAGAGGAAUAUAAAUAAUUUGAAAUCUAACCAGAUUAUCACAGAAUGAAUAUAUAUUUGUAAUGCCUAGACAUUCCCCGGAGGGCUUAACUAUAUAUAGGGUACGAGCUCCAAUAACAGCGGCAGCCGUUAUUGUGUAUGAGGGUAAACCUGCUAUAGGAACCCGUGCUGGUUUAACCAUUACAAUAUUAAUAGAUGUGUCGGAGACAAUGUAUCUCAUUAUUAUCUUGAAACCCAA
rnacentral:sRNA from 1 species